GAGCCCAGCUGCAGAGAAUCUAGGCCACUGUGACUUGGUCUUCCCCUCUCUGGGAUAUCACAAAGGCCAUAUGAGGUCAGUGAACCAAUCUACAAGAGAAGGGCUGAGCAGGGGACCUGAGAUGAUUUUCUCCAAUAUUUAGUCAGACUGAUUUUCUGGAUCCAAGUUUCUCAACUUACCAAAUGUGGGCAAAUCAUUAUAUUGCUCCCAGCCUUAAAAAUCUUCAAUAAGUUAAAGAGAGGACUCAGGCUUAAUGGCAAUCCUGUUAUCUUACCAAUGAGGAGACUAAACACCUAGUUGGAGAUCACCUCCUUACUGGCUCAGAGCUUCAGGAAAUAGCUCAAGGAUGUGCAAAUACUAAACAGUAGAGCUGGGAUUUAGAUCCACAUCUACUUAAUUUUAGUGCGUAUGCUCUAACUGCUGCCACAGAAGGGAUGCAGAGGAAGACGGUCAGUUACCCAGAGGGUGAUAUCUUUGACUUAAUGUUCACCAUAAAGACAGCUAUCAACAAAAGACUUGAAUUCUAACUUGUUAUCUAUUGCAGGAAAGUGCCUGCAAUAUGCCAUUGUGACAAGGCACCAUCAAUCAUCAUGUCCCUUUACCAGGAGGGCCCGUGUCAUAAGCCACUAUAUAAAGGGAAUGAUGGGUGGACUGCUUUGGACAAAUGGACCUGCGGUAGGAGAGAGGGACAACAGUAGGAGCAGGCAGAUCUUGCUGUUUCAACCAAAACCUCAUGCUGACCAGAGUUGAGGAACAGAAGAAGAUGGUGAAGGCCUGCAGGUAUAGGUGUUCAGCAUGUCAUCUGAAAUAUUCCCCACAGAGGCAAAAAGAAAGGAAAUUAUCUCUGAAAAGGAAUGGGAGGACAAGUCAGCAGAAUAUGUCAAUGUUUUGGUUGAAGAAGCUGCUUGAAUCUGGGCUUUUCUGUGCCAUGUGUUCUCCCAGGGCCAGCACAAAGAAGGGCUUUUGGUGCAGGCCCAAGACCACCAUAAUCAUCAUUGAUUAUUCCUCUCCACGCCAGUGUCUCUAAAUAAACUUUCUCUUCUUUCUCUGACAAAGGUGUUUUUGAGUGUUACUGUUUAGCUGAAGAGUGACGUUGAGUGACCUUAGUACCCUAGCCCUUCAUGUAAUCAGAUGGGUGUUGUAAGCAGAGGGAGAACCAUGUGAGUCAGGAGGAAAUAUGUAGUUUACCCUUUUUUUCCUGUUUGAAAGAUUUACUAUGAUGUUCAUGGUUGGGCUUUUGUUUGGGAUAAAUUGAGAUGCUUUCUGGAUAUGAUAAGGGCUUAUUUGGUUUGAUAGACCGUCUAAACAAGGCCAGUGCAGGCUGAGCCAGGUGAACCACCAGAUCACCAUCAGCUCACACUUCUCAUUCAUUUGUUAGCAGAAAUGAAGAUGCUUGUUUUCCUAGAAACAAGCCCAGGUCAUCCAUCAUGAAGUCCAGGAAUUGUAAAUGUGAGGAAGUGCAAAGACACAACGUACACUUACAAAGGCAUAUGUGCAUUUGGAAUUCUUUAAAGGACAACAUCCUCGAGCUUCUCCUGGGCCUCAGCCAAAACGGAGACACAAAAUGCAUCAUGCUAACAUUGUUGAGUUAAACUAGAAAAUCACAGGAAAAGAUUAAAAAAUGGAGAUCAAGAGAAAGAGGGAAAAACAAAGACCAGAAUAAACAUAAUUUCUAUUCAUCCCCUGGAUUAGUGAGCACAAGCCAUGCUUCUUGAUUCGAGCUCAGGUGAAGGGUGAAAUGCAGCCACAUCUAUAUUUUCCAAUGCCUUAUCUGUCUUCCUUUUUGGUCUCUUUGCUUGUUUUAUUUUAUAGGCUCAACGCACCUUCAUAUCUAUUAUCAACAAUAAAUGGGCCUGGUAUCAUUGGAAACGUGAAAAAUAGAACGUAAGAACUUUCAACCCCCCAAGUAAACCCUGGCUCCUCCAUUAUCUCUGAGGUUUCCCAUAAGAUCUCUUAAAAGUUUGUUGUUUUCC
rnacentral:lncRNA from 1 species